ACCAAUCAUGGCUUUAUUCCAGCAGAUAUGAUAGUCCAGAAAACUGAGACAGCUCCUGACACACUGAAGUCAGAUGGGGCUUUCUUGUUUGUGCAGUCCAGUUGGUAUCAUGCCACGGCCGGGCACUGGUCCAUGGACCCCUGUGCUAAUGGGCUCACAGCUGAGGUGGAUGACCAUGCUUCCUCCAGGAGAUUGUUAAGAACAUGUACUGAAUACAAAAAGGUUGAAUUUCAGAUAAUAAGAAAAUACGUUGAGAAAAGAAGAAUGUAAGAAUUGUACAAAAUCCAAGAUGAUGGACUGAAAUCAAUUUGUCUUUAAAAAGAAGAAGAAGAAGAACAAUGAGAACUGACACCUCUCUGAAAAUGCAAAGACUUUAAUAAAAACUUUCAGAGAUUUAUGGACUAGUUAGGAAUUCAUUUGGA